rnacentral:sRNA from 1 species
AGAAUUUCUUAAACAUGGUAUGGGUUGAAAAACCUUAGGCCGUGUUUGUGAGGAACGAUGUUCGCGGAUGGACUGACCUUGGUACCAGAUGUGUUCUGGGAACUCGGUCGGAUCGUCUACGAGCGUCACAAGUAACGCUUCCGGAUUCGUUCUUAGUCCUAAAACGGUUCGGGGGUGUUACAGCAGGAGGUGCAAUUCCUUUCAUCUGGCAGUGAUCCCUUGGUGCAUCCCGAGCACCAAUGUUUGCAGGGCCAUUCUGUUGAUUUUGUUCGUCAGCCAUUUGGAGUGGUUGCUGGGGUACAAGGUUGACAGUGUUUCUCCUUUCUCUGAGUUCGCGAGCUAUGCGGUCAAUGUUAUCGUUGAACAAGAGGUUCUGGUUGCCUGUUGAUCGAGUUUGCAUACAGCAGAGGUGUACUUGGAUCAAGAAGACAACAAGAAAAACACACAGUUAGUAACAUAAAUGAAAAUUGAAAAAGAACUUGAUCUAAGCAAGUCUGAAAUCUCAAAUGUAAUAAACAAACACCCAAUUGGCAAUGGUGCCAAAUUGAUAAUAGGUUUUUAGUCAAUUAUCCUAAAACACCAAUCAUGUCGUUGUAGUAUUUUAGGUUGUCAAUCCAAAUGGGUGUGAUGCUAGCAAUCAAGAUGCAAUCAGAGUUCACAGAGUCAAGCCAAGCAAUAACAGGACUUGGAGUGUUCUAGUAGUCCUAAGUGAACAUGCAGGAAACAGAAAAAUCAAGCAGAAAUAAUAAAACACUCGACCAACACAACUCGUUGCAUAGACCUGGGUGUGGUCGAGUGACUGGUCGAGUAACAGAUAAAAAAUAUAACAGGGAUACUCGAUUGCACAGUCUGUUGCCAGACAACUGGGUGGUCGAGUAUCAGGUCGAGUAGCAGGAGAAAAAUACAAAAACUAAGCAACAACUAACAAGAUGCAGCAAACAACAAUAGAGUAAACAAAGAAAUCAAUUAGAUAAAGAAUUCACGAGGAUGGGGUAAUUGAGUAGUUUCGUUUCCUCAGUUUACAGGUGAUUGACAUGUUAAAUAAAUUAUCCCUAGACAACAAGUUCGAUAACCAAAUCUAAGUGCCACCGCAACAGAGACCCUCAAGUUCAACCAGUCCAGACUCAAUCACCAUUGACGAGAGCUAACCUAACAGGCAUUAUGAAUCAACAAGUUAAAGCCAAAACGCUCCCUGCAACCAAUACCUUGGUACAGAGCCACAAAUCUCUGGAAUUAGUGGUUCAAACAUUUCAUCGAACACCUUUUGGGCGCGGAAAUGUCUGGGCUCAAAUUCCAGUUGAUCAGAAAGCAAUAGGCAUUAAGAACAACUAAUCCAGAAGGAAUCUAUAAAUCAAACUCAACCACCUAGCAUACUGAGAAUUCUAAACUACUCUAACCCAUCCUCAGUAACCUAAUCACUACUCAGAAAUCAUAGCAGAAAGCAUAAACAAUGAAUACAAUGGAAACAUGAUAGC